GGGAACACAGCGUCUGCACAAGGCUGUGUGUGUGGUAAUUAACCCAGGUCUGACCUCCUGCUUGAACGGAAACUCUAAGCUUGAGGAAAAAUGAACAACUGACAUGUGCUUCAGGGAGCCGCAAACGGAAAAGCUUCAGCAAUGCCUUCCCUACUGAACACGCUGGUGCAAGUCACAGACUUGUAAACUCAGUGCUCAGUGAAAGUGCUGUGACUCAAACCCAGAGACUCGAGCAUGCCAGACAAGUACCCUAACCACUGAACUACAACUCAGGUGAACAAGAUGUAGAAUUCUCAGGUCCUUCUCCA